rnacentral:lncRNA from 1 species
CACUAUUCCAAAGAUAAAAAUGCACUGAAAAUGCAACCUAUAAGUUAAUAUUUCAUAGGUAGUAACUUUUCUAAAUUCCUUUUAACUCUAAACAGCCAUCUUCUAGUGUAGAAGGAAAGUUAUAGAAAUUAAAAGUUAGGGGAAGAAAGAAAGUUAUUUUCUAUUUGUCAUGUUCUGAUGGAUCUAUAAGAGUUCAAACGAUGUGUAUGUAUAUUGUCAGAACGAUGUAAUCUUUGCAUAAUUUUUGUAAACAUUAUAGAAGUUUCGUAACAACUAAUAACUAUAUAAGGG